CCUCAGAGGACAGACUGAAGGUCCAUCAGAGUGCUGUGGACCGCCUGGGUCUGGCCUGCUACAAUAAAGGAGCGUUCUCCAGCUUGUUUUACCUGGCCCACGAGUUUCACGAUGACCCAAAAGGAGGAAUCCUGACCAACACCAACUGUGGAGGUGAGAACUGUAACCGCGGGGCCGCGCUCGGGGCCCUGCUGGGGGCCGGGGCCGCCCACAUCGGAUCCAGAGUCCCACAGGAGUGGAAGGAUGA